AAAACCCGAUGUGCGGAAUUUUAGAGGGGGCACUGGAAACAGGGCGAUGGCAAGUAGGAUUGAGGCGAUGCACCCGGAAGGGGCAUCAUAGCCACCGAAAGCCUAAGGCUACUGCGUCAGAGCUCUACUCGACCGAAAUAGUUAUGGUGCCAGAGGCCGAAGCUGUGCAUUUAGCUGAAGGCAGUAGUCUUAUCUCCGUUAAGAGGCAAGGAGAUAAGACCCUGGCGGGGUCUGAGACCA
rfam:Candidatus Omnitrophica bacterium 4484_70.1 ex4484_70.1_scaffold_4496, whole genome shotgun sequence.